rnacentral:rRNA from 1 species
GAUGAACGCUGGCGGCGUGCCUAACACAUGCAAGUCGAGCGAUUCUCUUCGGAGAAGAGCGGCGGACGGGUGAGUAACGCGUGGGUAACCUGCCUCAUACACAUGGAUAACAUACCGAAAGGUAUGCUAAUACAGGAUAACGUAAGAGAUUCGCAUGGAUUUCUUAUCAAAGCUCCGGCGGUAUGAGAUGGACCCGCGUCUGAUUAGCUAGUUGGUAAGGUAAUGGCUUACCAAGGCGACGAUCAGUAGCCGACCUGAGAGGGUGAUCGGCCACAUUGGAACUGAGACACGGUCCAAACUCCUACGGGAGGCAGCAGUGGGGAAUAUUGCACAAUGGGCGAAAGCCUGGUGCAGCAACGCCGCGUGAGUGAUGAAGGCCUUCGGGUCGUAAAACUCUGUCCUCAAGGAAGAUAAUGACGGUACUUGAGGAGGAAGCCCCGGCUAACUACGUGCCAGCAGCUGCGGUAAUACGUAGGGGGCUAGCGUUAUCCGGAUUUACUGGGCGUAAAGGGUGCGUAGGUGGUUUCUUAAGUCAGGAGUGAAAGGCUACGGCUCAACCGUAGUAAGCUCUUGAAACUGGGAAACUUGAGUGCAGGAGAGGAAAGUGGAAUUCCUAGUGUAGCGGUGAAAUGCGUAGAUAUUAGGAGGAACACCAGUAGCGAAGGCGGCUUUCUGGACUGUACUGACACUGAGGCACGAAGCGUGGGGGCAA